GAUGAACGCUGACAGAAUGCUACACAUGCAAGUCUACUUGAAUUUGGGUUUUUUAACUUCGAUUUGGGUGGCGGACGGGUGAGUAACGCGUAAAGAACUUGCCUCACAGCUAGGGACAACAUUUGGAAACGAAUGCUAAUACCCGAUAUUAUGAUUAUAGGGCAUCCUAGAAUUAUGAAAGCUAUAUGCGCUGUGAGAGAGCUUUGCGUCCCAUUAGCUAGUUGGAGAGGUAACGGCUCACCAAGGCGAUGAUGGGUAGCCGGCCUGAGAGGGUGAACGGCCACAAGGGGACUGAGACACGGCCCUUACUCCUACGGGAGGCAGCAGUGGGGAAUAUUGGACAAUGGACCGAGAGUCUGAUCCAGCAAUUCUGUGUGCACGAUGACGUUUUUCGGAAUGUAAAGUGCUUUCAGUUGGGAAGAAAAAAAUGACGGUACCAACAGAAGAAGUGACGGCUAAAUACGUGCCAGCAGCCGCGGUAAUACGUAUGUCACGAGCGUUAUCCGGAUUUAUUGGGCGUAAAGCGCGUCUAGGUGGUUAUGUAAGUCUGAUGUGAAAAUGCAGGGCUCAACUCUGUAUUGCGUUGGAAACUGUGUAACUAGAGUACUGGAGAGGUAAGCGGAACUACAAGUGUAGAGGUGAAAUUCGUAGAUAUUUGUAGGAAUGCCGAUGGGGAAGCCAGCUUACUGGACAGAUACUGACGCUGAAGCGCGAAAGCGUGGGUAGCAAACAGGAUUAGAUACCCUGGUAGUCCACGCCGUAAACGAUGAUUACUAGGUGUUGGGGGUCGAACCUCAGCGCCCA
rnacentral:rRNA from 1 species